rnacentral:rRNA from 1 species
GAUGACGCUGGCGGCGUGCCUAAUACAUGCAAGUCGAGCGAGCGGCGGACGGGUGAGUAAUGUCUGGGAAACUGCCUGAUGGAGGGGGAGAACUACUGGAAACGGUAGCUAAUACCGCAUACCAUCAGAUGUGCCCAAAUGGGAUUAGCUGGUAGGUGGGGGAAUGGCUCACCUAGGCGACGAUCCCUAGCUGGUCUGAGAGGAUGACCAGCCACCCUGGGACUGUGACACGGUCCAGACUCCUACGGGCGGCAGCAGUGGGGAAUAUUGCACAAUGGGCGCAAGCCUGAUGCAGCCAUGCCGCGUGUGUGAAGAAGGCCUUCGGGUUGUAGAGCACUUUCAGCGAGGAGGCGUUACUCGCAGAAGAAGCACCGGCUAACUACGUGCCAGCAGCCGCGGUAAUUC